GAUGAACGCUGGCGGCGUGCCUAAUACAUGCAAGUCGAACGAACAGACGAGGAGCUUGCUCCUCUGACGUUAGCGGCGGACGGGUGAGUAACACGUGGAUAACCUACCUAUAAGACUGGGAUAACUUCGGGAAACCGGAGCUAAUACCGGAUAAUAUAUUGAACCGCAUGGUUCAAUAGUGAAAGACGGUUUUGCUGUCACUUAUAGAUGGAUCCGCGCCGCAUUAGCUAGUUGGUAAGGUAACGGCUUACCAAGGCGACGAUGCGUAGCCGACCUGAGAGGGUGAUCGGCCACACUGGAACUGAGACACGGUCCAGACUCCUACGGGAGGCAGCAGUAGGGAAUCUUCCGCAAUGGGCGAAAGCCUGACGGAGCAACGCCGCGUGAGUGAUGAAGGUCUUCGGAUCGUAAAACUCUGUUAUUAGGGAAGAACAAAUGUGUAAGUAACUAUGCACGUCUUGACGGUACCUAAUCAGAAAGCCACGGCUAACUACGUG
rnacentral:rRNA from 1 species